UACGUAGGGUGCGAGCGUUAAUCGGAAUUACUGGGCGUAAAGGGUGCGUAGGCGGUUCGUUAAGUCUGUCGUGAAAUCCCCGGGCUCAACCUGGGAAUGGCGAUGGAUACUGGCGAGCUAGAGUGUGUCAGAGGAUGGUGGAAUUCCCGGUGUAGCGGUGAAAUGCGUAGAGAUCGGGAGGAACACCAACGGCGAAGGCAGCACUCUGGGCCGGUACUGACGCUGAGGAGCGAAAGCGUGGGGAGCAAACAGG
rnacentral:rRNA from 1 species